CUUGCGGCCAUAUCCCUUCGAAACAUCGGUUCUCGUACGAACACCGAAUUUAAGCAACGCUGAGCCAGGUCACUACCUAGAUGAGUGACCGCUUGGGAAUACCAGGUGGUGUAC